GUCCUAAGGUAGCGAAAUUCCUUGUCGGGUAAGUUCCGACCCGCACGAAAGGCGUAACGAUUUGGGCACUGUCUCAACGAGAGACUCGGUGAAAUCAUAGUACCUGUGAAGAUGCAGGUUACCCGCGACAGGACGGAAAGACCCCGUGGAGCUUUACUGUAGCCUGAUAUUGAAAUUCGGCACAGCUUGUACAGGAUAGGUAGGAGCCUUUGAAACGUGAGCGCUAGCUUACGUGGAGGCGCUGGUGGGAUACUACCCUAGCUGUGUUGGCUUUCUAACCCGCACCACUUAUCGUGGUGGGAGACAGUGUCAGGCGGGCAGUUUGACUGGGGCGGUCGCCUCCUAAAAGGUAACGGAGGCGCUCAAAGGUUCCCUCAGAAUGGUUGGAAAUCAUUCAUAGAGUGUAAAGGCAUAAGGGAGCUUGACUGCGAGACCUACAAGUCGAGCAGGGUCGAAAGACGGACUUAGUGAUCCGGUGGUUCCGCAUGGAAGGGCCAUCGCUCAACGGAUAAAAGCUACCCCGGGGAUAACAGGCUUAUCUCCCCCAAGAGUUCACAUCGACGGGGAGGUUUGGCACCUCGAUGUCGGCUCAUCGCAUCCUGGGGCUGUAGUCGGUCCCAAGGGUUGGGCUGUUCGCCCAUUAAAGCGGUACGCGAGCUGGGUUCAGAACGUCGUGAGACAGUUCGGUCCCUAUCCGUCGUGGGCGUAGGAAAUUUGAGAGGAGCUGUCCUUAGUACGAGAGGACCGGGAUGGACAUACCUCUGGUGUACCAGUUGUCGUGCCAACGGCAUAGCUGGGUAGCUAUGUGUGGACGGGAUAAGUGCUGAAAGCAUCUAAGCAUGAAGCCCCCCUCAAGAUGAGAUUUCCCAACUUCGGUUAUAAGAUCCCUCAAAGAUGAUGAGGUUAAUAGGUUCGAGGUGGAAGCAUGGUGACAUGUGGAGCUGACGAAUACUAAUCGAUCGAAGACUUAAUCAA
rnacentral:rRNA from 1 species